GUAGGAGAAAGCCAAAGAAACAGUUACCUGUUGUUGCCUGGUUUACUGGGGAUACCUGGGCCCUGAGGACUUGACCUGACCCAUCUAAAAGAGUCUGCAGAAGUCCCUUGGUGCCUCACAAGAAUGAAUUCAAGGACAGACUAGACAUAGCAGAUGAGUGGUACAAGCAGAAAGUUUAUUUAUGUGAAUGUACAUUCUUAGAAGAAGACCAGACAGACUUGAGGGAACAAUUGCCUGAAAUUCCUUGUUUCCAAGCUUUUAUUGUAUUUUGAAUAAUUAGGAGAGAAGUAUUCAUUGAGUAGGUGGGAUCUUUUUUGGUAAUGGCAUGCCUUUUCCAGGAAUUCAGGUACAACCCCUUUCCUUAUUUGGAUUAAUCAGAACUGUCAUGUUGAUUUUAGAGGCAGAGAUCCUCCAAAACUGCAAUGUAAAUGAUAUGAUAAUGGGGGACGGAUCAUUUGAGGAUACACCUGACCUUAGUCACCUGUUUGCCCCAGAGAUUUCCCAACCUCACCAGUUUGCCUCACUCUCCUUUGCUGCUAUAUCAUUUAUUUGUUAG
ensembl:lncRNA